UAAAUAGCUUUGGAAUUCUUCCAUAAAUUU
rnacentral:piRNA from 1 species